rnacentral:rRNA from 1 species
CCUACGGGGAGCAGCAGUGAGGAAUAUUGGUCAAUGGACGAGAGUCUGAACCAGCCAAGUAGCGUGAAGGCUGACUGCCCUAUGGGUUGUAAACUUCUUUUAUAUGGGAAUAAAAUGUUCCACGUGUGGGAUUUUGUAUGUACCAUAUGAAUAAGGAUCGGCUAACUCCGUGCCAGCAGCCGCGGUAAUACGGAGGAUCCGAGCGUUAGCCGGAUUGAUUGGGUUUAAAGGGAGCGUAGGUGGAUUGUUAAGUCAGUUGUGAAAGUUUGCGGCUCAACCGUAAAAUUGCAGUUGAAACUGGCAGUCUUGAGGACAGUAGAGGUGGGCGGAAUUCGUGGUGUAGCGGUGAAAUGCUUAGAUAUCACGAAGAACUCCGAUUGCGAAGGCAGCUCACUGGACUGCAACUGACACUGAGGCUCGAAAGUGUGGGUAUCAAACAGGAUGAGAUACCCCUGUAGUC